AAAACGACUCUCGGCAACGGAUAUCUAGGCUCUCGCAUCGAUGAAGAACGUAGCGAAAUGCGAUACUUGGUGUGAAUUGCAGAAUCCCGCGAAUCAUCGAGUUUUUGAACGCAAGUUGCGCUCGAAGCCAUUCGGCCGAGGGCACGUCUGCCUGGGUGUCACGC
rnacentral:rRNA from 4 species